rnacentral:rRNA from 1 species
AAGGAUCAUUAACGAAAGCUCGAGCGAGGUUGUGGCUGGUCCCUUCCGGGGGGCAACGUGCACGCCUCGUCUCUCGUCUUCAUCUAUCAACCCCUGUGCACCUCUGCGUGGGUCCCCCCACCUUCGGGGGCUUGCGUCCUUUCACCACAAAACACAUUCGUAUGUAUCUGAACGUUAUGAUGAUGAUAAAAACCAGUACAACUUUCAACAACGGAUCUCUUGGCUCUCGCAUCGAUGAAGAACGCAGCGAAAUGCGAUAAGUAAUGUGAAUUGCAGAAUUCAGUGAAUCAUCGAAUCUUUGAACGCACCUUGUGCCUCUUGGUAUUCCGAGGGGCACGCCUGUUUGAGUAUCGUGAAACCAUCAACCCGAUCCCCUUUUGUGAAAAAAACAAAGGGAAGAGGGCUUGGACUUGGAGGAAUUUGCUGGUCCCCCUUUGUGUUUGGGAUCGGCUCCUCUGGAAUGCAUUAGUGGAGCUUUCGACCGCCCUCGGUGUGAUAAUCGUCUGCGCCGACGUGUGGAAAGAGUUAAAGCAUCGCUUCGAACGGUCUCGUCCCGAGACAAGCUUUUUGAACCCAUCGAUCUCAAAUCAGGCGGGACUACCCGCCGAACUUAA